rnacentral:rRNA from 1 species
UCAUCUUCUGAACCUAUGUAUAGAAGACAAUGCCUGCCCAGUGAAUUAUUUAAACGGCCGCGUUAGCGUGAGCGUGCUAAGGUAGCGUAAUAAAUAGCCUCUUAAUUGGAGGCCAGUGAAUGGCAAGACUAGGAACACCUGUACCUUUUAUAUUAAAAAAACUUUUCGUCUAAGUGAAAAGACUUAGAUAAUAAAGGAAGACGAAAAGACCCCGCGGAACUUUACCUUUUCUCGCACCUUCGCCCAAAAGCACAAAAGUACAAAAGGUUUGAUUGGGGCAAUCUCGGAACCCACAAGCUUCCGAUUAUUUCAAAUAACAAUCCAAAAUUUGCUACAGACAAAACAGAAGUUACCCCGGGGAUAACAGCGUUAUCCAACUCAAGAGUACACAUCGAAAGUUGGGUUUGCGACCUCGAUGUUGGCUUAAGGACAUCCACAUUAGUGCAACCGCUAUGGGAGGACAGUCUGUUCGACUAUUAUACCCUUA